rnacentral:rRNA from 1 species
GAAUCUUAGACAAUGGGGGAAACCCUGAUCUAGCCAUGCCGCGUGAUCGAUGAAGGCCUUAGGGUUGUAAAGAUUUUUCAGCUGGGAAGAUAAUGACGGUACCAACAGAAGAAGCCCCGGCUAACCUCGUGACCGCAGCCGCGGUAAGACGGAGGGAGCUAGCGUUAUUCGGAUUUACGGGGCGGAAAGCGAACGCAGGCGGAUCAGAAAGUUAGGGGUGGAAUCCCGGGGCUCAACCUCGGAACUGCCUCUAAAACUCCUGGUCUUGAGGUCGAGAGAGGUGAGUGGAAUUCCGAGUGUAGAGGUGAAAUUCGUAGAUAUUCGGAGGAACACCAGUGGCGAAGGCGGCUCACUGGCUCGAUACUGACGCUGAGGUGCGAAAGCGUGGGGAGCAAACA